GUGGGGAAUCUUAGACAAUGGGCGCAAGCCUGAUCUAGCCAUGCCGCGUGAGCGAUGAAGGCCUUAGGGUUGUAAAGCUCUUUCAGUGGGGAAGAUAAUGACUGUACCCACAGAAGAAGCCCCGGCUAACUCCGUGCCAGCAGCCGCGGUAAUACGGAGGGGGCUAGCGUUGUUCGGAAUUACUGGGCGUAAAGCGCACGUAGGCGGACUGGAAAGUCAGGGGUGAAAUCCCGGGGCUCAACCCCGGAACUGCCUUUGAAACUCCCAGUCUUGAGGUCGAGAGAGGUGAGUGGAAUUCCGAGUGUAGAGGUGAAAUUCGUAGAUAUUCGGAGGAACACCAGUGGCGAAGGCGGCUCACUGGCUCGAUACUGACGCUGAGGUGCGAAAGCGUGGGGAGCAAACAGGAUUAGAAACCCUGGUAGUCC
rnacentral:rRNA from 1 species